UACAGAGGGGGCAAGCGUUGUUCGGAAUUACUGGGCGUAAAGGGCGCGUAGGCGGCCUGUUAAGUCGAACGUGAAAUCCCCGGGCUCAACCCGGGAACUGCGUCCGAUACUGGCAGGCUUGAAUCCGGGAGAGGGAUGCGGAAUUCCCGGUGUAGCGGUGAAAUGCGUAGAUAUCGGAAGGAACAUCAGUGGCGAAAGCGGCUUCCUGGACCAGUACCGACGUUCAGGCACGAAAGCGUGGGGAGCAAACAGG
rnacentral:rRNA from 1 species